rnacentral:rRNA from 1 species
GACGAACGCUGGCGGCGUGCCUAAUACAUGCAAGUCGAGCGGAGUUAUUGGGGAGCUUGCUCCUGAAUAACUUAGCGGCGGACGGGUGAGUAACACGUAGGUAACCUGCCUGUAAGCCUGGGAUAACUAACGGAAACGUUAGCUAAUACCGGAUACGCAAGUCUCUCGCAUGGGAGACUUGGGAAAGACGGAGCAAUCUGUCACUUAUGGAUGGGCCUGCGGCGCAUUAGCUAGUUGGUAGGGUAACGGCUUACCAAGGCGACGAUGCGUAGCCGACCUGAGAGGGUGAACGGCCACACUGGGACUGAGACACGGCCAGACUCCUACGGGAGGCAGCAGUAGGGAAUCUUCCGCAAUGGACGCAAGUCUGACGGAGCAACGCCGCGUGAGUGAAGAAGGUUUUCGGAUCGUAAAGCUCUGUUGCCAGGGAAGAAUGUCUUGGAGAGUAACUGCUCUGAGAGUGACGGUACCUGAGAAGAAAGCCCCGGCUAACUACGUGCCAGCCGCCGCCGUAA